rnacentral:rRNA from 1 species
GAUGAACGCUGGCGGCGUGCCUAAUACAUGCAAGUCGAGCGAACAGACGAGGAGCUUGCUCCUCUGACGUUAGCGGCGGACGGGUGAGUAACACGUGGAUAACCUACCUAUAAGACUGGGAUAACUUCGGGAAACCGGAGCUAAUACCGGAUAAUAUAUUGAACCGCAUGGUUCAAUAGUGAAAGACGGUUUUGCUGUCACUUAUAGAUGGAUCCGCGCCGCAUUAGCUAGUUGGUAAGGUAACGGCUUACCAAGGCAACGAUGCGUAGCCGACCUGAGAGGGGGAGCGGCCACACGGGACCUGAGCCCCGGUCCAGACUCCUACGGGAGGCAGAAGUAGGGAAUCUUCCGAAAUGGGCGAAAGCCGGACGGAGCAACGCCGGGGGAGUGAUGAAGGUCUUCGGAUCGAAAAACUCUUUUAUUAGGAAAGAAAAAAUGUGAAAGAAACUCGGCCGGUCUGGACGGUCCCUAAUAAGAAAGCCACGGCUAACUACGGC